rnacentral:rRNA from 1 species
GACGAACUGCUCAAACGUUAUUCGGAAUCACUGGGCUUAAAGGGCGCGUAGGCGGUUUAACAAGCGAGGUUUGAAAUCCCGUAGCUCAACUACGGAACUGGGCUUCGAACUGUUAGACUAGAGUGAAGUAGGGGCAAGCGGAACUUGCGGUGGAGCGGUGAAAUGCUUUGAUAUCGCAAGGAACACCGGUGGCGAAAGCGGCUUGCUUGGCUUUAACUGACGCUCAAGCGCGAAAGCUAGGGUAGCGAAC